rnacentral:lncRNA from 1 species
CUCUCGAUCCCCGACCACCUGCCCAGCUGACAGCCCCGGCACCGCGGCUGCUCGCCCGGGGGGCGGAAUGGCAGCGGCGCAAGCUGGCGAUGCGCAGCAGUAGGGCUGGGGGAGGAAACCCAGCACCAGCCCCCGGCUUGGGCUGCCCGGGGGGAGCCGCAGGCUCGGGAGGUGCCGGCAGGGGAGCGGUGGGUGCCGUGCCGAGCCGUGCCGGGUUAUCAGCGCCGAGAGGGGCAGCCGCCGGGCUCGCCGCCUCGUCUCCCCCAGCCAUGAAUCCCAGCGAAGGGGCGGCGGAGGAAGGCGCUGUCCCCGACUCCGAGGUGGAUGCUUUCUUCCGAACAGGUUCAUUCCGAAAUGAUGGCUUAAAAGCUGCUGAUGUCCUUCCUAUACUAAAGGAGAAAGUGGCCUUUGUGUCAGGUGGCCGUGAUAAACGAGGUGGUCCUGUCUUGACCUUCCCAGCCCGCAGCAAUCAUGACAGAAUAAGGCAGGAAGACCUUCGGAAACUUGUGACUUAUUUGGCCAGCGUGCCAAGUGAAGAUGUCUGUAAACGAGGAUUCACUGUUAUCAUCGAUAUGCGGGGAUCAAAAUGGGAUUUGAUCAAACCUCUCCUAAAGACCCUUCAAGAAGCCUUUCCUGCCGAGAUUCACGUUGCCCUGAUUAUAAAACCUGAUAAUUUCUGGCAGAAGCAGAAAACGAACUUCGGCAGUUCCAAGUUCAUCUUUGAGACAAGUAUGGUAUCUGUUGAAGGCCUGGCAAAACUCGUAGAUCCUUCCCAACUGACAGAUGAGUUUGAAGGAUCAUUGGAUUACAACCACGAUGAAUGGAUAGAGUUGCGUGUCUCCUUAGAAGAAUUUUUCAACAGUGCCAUUCAUCUAUUAUCAAGACUGGAGGACCUUCAGGAAAUGUUGGGCUCAAGGAGGCUGAUUGAUGAGCACACACAGCUUAAGAAAAAAGUGAUUAAAGCUCCUGUGGAAGAACUGGAUCGUGAGGGUCAGAGGUUAUUACAAUGUAUAAGAUGCAGUGAUGGUUUUUCUGGUAGGAACUGCAUUCCUGGAAGUGCAGACUUUCAAAGUCUUGUGCCAAAGAUCACCAGCCUUUUAGACAAGCUGCAUUCUACCAGACAACAUUUGCAUCAGAUGUGGCAUGUCCGCAAGCUAAAACUGGACCAGUGCUUUCAACUCCGGCUUUUUGAGCAAGAUGCUGAGAAGAUGUUUGACUGGAUCAGCCACAACAAAGAAUUGUUCCUGCAGAGCCACACAGAGAUUGGCGUGAGCUAUCAACAUGCCCUUGACCUACAGACACAGCACAAUCAUUUUGCCAUGAAUUCAAUGAAUGCCUAUGUCAACAUCAAUCGGAUCAUGUCUGUUGCAUCUAGGCUUUCUGAGGCAGGCCAUUAUGCGUCCCAGCAAAUUAAACAAAUUUCUACCCAGCUGGAUCAAGACACCAUUUUAGCCAUGUCCGCUGUCUUUCACCAGAAAGCUGAACAGUUCCUUUCAGGUGUGGAUGCCUGGUGUAAAAUGUGCAGUGAAGGAGGGCUCCCCUCUGAGAUGCAAGAUCUGGAACUGGCAUACACAGAGGUGAGCCAGGAUGGGAAAGCCUUGCUGGAUGUCUUACAGCGUCCCUUGAGCCCUGGGAACUCUGAAUCCCUCACUGCUACUGCAAAUUACUCCAAGGCUGUUCACCAGGUGUUGGAUGUGGUACAUGAAGUCCUACAUCACCAGCGGCGUCUAGAGAGCAUCUGGCAACACCGAAAAGUCCGGCUACAUCAGAGGCUGCAACUCUGCGUUUUCCAGCAGGAUGUUCAACAGGUACUGGACUGGAUUGAAAAUCACGGGGAAGCCUUUCUGAGUAAACACACAGGAGUUGGGAAGUCUCUACAUAGAGCACGUGCACUGCAGAAAAGACACGAUGAUUUUGAAGAGGUAGCACAGAAUACGUACACCAAUGCAGACAAGCUUUUAGAGGCUGCAGAGCAGCUGGCUCAGACUGGGGAAUGUGACCCUGAAGAGAUCUAUAAAGCAGCCCGGCAUCUGGAAGUACGGAUUCAGGACUUUGUCCGGAGGGUGGAACAGAGGAAACUUCUCUUGGACAUGUCAGUCUCCUUCCAUACCCACACCAAAGAGCUGUGGACAUGGAUGGAAGAUCUGCAGAAGGAGCUCUUAGAGGAUGUCUCAUCCACCUGGAGGACAGCCGUUUCCAACAAUAAGACUCCACACAAUAGCUCCAUCAGCCACAUCGAAUCUGUACUUCAGCAGCUCGACGAGGCCCAGGUACAGAUGGAAGAGCUCUUCCAUGAGAGGAAGAUUAAGCUAGAUAUUUUUCUUCAGCUCCGGAUUUUUGAACAGUACACCAUCGAGGUUACAGCAGAGUUAGAUGCCUGGAAUGAAGAUCUGCUGAGACAAAUGAAUGAUUUCAAUACUGAAGACCUCACUCUGGCUGAACAACGUCUGCAGCGUCACACUGAGCGGAAAUUGGCCAUGAACAACAUGACCUUUGAAGUCAUCCAACAAGGGCAAGAUUUACACCAAUACAUCAUGGAGGUCCAGGCUUCAGGCAUUGAGCUGAUCUGUGAAAAGGACAUUGAUCUUGCAACACAAGUUCAAGAGCUGCUGGAAUUCCUUCAUGAGAAACAGCAUGAGCUGGAGCUUAAUGCUGACCAAACUCACAAGAGGUUAGAGCAGUGCCUACAGCUUCGGCACCUACAGGCUGAGGUCAAGCAGGUGCUUGGCUGGAUCCGGAAUGGUGAAUCAAUGCUGAAUGCAAGCCUUGUCAAUGCAAGCUCCCUUUCUGAAGCUGAGCAGCUCCAGCGAGAGCAUGAACAAUUUCAGCUGGCCAUAGAGUCCCUGUUUCAUGCCACUUCCUUACAGAAGACACACCAGAGUGCCCUGCAGGUCCAGCAGAAAGCCGAAGUCCUGCUGCAGGCAGGGCAUUAUGAUGCUGAUGCCAUCAGAGAAUGUGCUGAAAAGGUGGCCCUGCACUGGCAACAGCUGAUGCUGAAGAUGGAGGACAGGCUCAAACUGGUCAAUGCUUCAGUGGCCUUCUAUAAAACCUCUGAGCAGGUGUGCAGUGUAUUAGAGAGCCUGGAGCAAGAAUACAGACGGGAUGAAGAUUGGUGUGGAGGUCGAGAUAAACUUGGACCAGCAGCUGAGAUAGACCACGUCAUCCCGCUGAUCAGCAAACAUCUGGAGCAGAAGGAGGCUUUUCUCAAGGCCUGCACUCUGGCACGAAGAAAUGCCGAGGUAUUCCUCAAGUACAUCCACAGGAACAAUGUUAGCAUGCCUGGAGUAGCAAGCCAUACCAGGGGGCCUGAGCAGCAAGUGAAAGCCAUUUUGAGUGAGUUGCUGCAGAGGGAGAACCGGGUCCUUCACUUCUGGACCCUGAAAAAGCGACGAUUAGACCAGUGCCAACAGUACGUUGUCUUCGAGCGUAGUGCCAAGCAGGCCUUAGACUGGAUCCAAGAAACAGGCGAAUAUUACCUCUCUACUCACAACUCCACAGGGGAAUCGGCUGAGGAAACUCAGGAACUCCUGAAGGAAUAUGGGGAAUUCAGAGUACCUGCAAAGCAAACAAAGGAGAAAGUGAAGCUCCUCAUCCAGCUGGCUGACAGCUUUGUAGAAAAAGGACAUAUGCACGCCACUGAAAUCAGGAAGUGGGUCACCACUGUUGACAAACGCUACCGUGACUUCUCUCUCAGAAUGGGGAAAUACCGCUACUCCCUGGAAAAAGCCCUUGGAAUCAAUACAGAGGAUAACAAGGACCUAGAACUAGAUAUUAUUCCAGCAAGUCUUUCAGAUCGGGAGGUAAAGCUGCGAGAUGCAAAUCAUGAAGUCAAUGAAGAAAAAAGAAAAUCGGCCAGAAAGAAAGAAUUCAUUAUGGCUGAGCUGCUUCAGACAGAAAAAGCUUAUGUCAGGGAUUUACAUGAAUGUUUAGAGACUUACCUUUGGGAAAUGACAAGUGGAGUGGAAGAAAUACCCGCUGGGAUCCUUAAUAAAGAACACAUCAUCUUUGGCAAUAUUCAGGAGAUAUAUGACUUUCAUAACAAAGUCAAAAUGCUAAACAAAGAAAUGCAGAGAUACAGAGCUGACAUUUGUUAUGGGUGGUUCCGUCUGGAAAUUCAGCAAAGGCAUGGUCUGGCGAAUUCUAUCUCUUCUUAUUUAAUCAAGCCCGUCCAGAGGAUCACAAAAUACCAACUCCUACUGAAGGAACUGCUAACCUGCUGUGAGGAAGGCAAAGGGGAGCUCAAAGAUGGUCUGGAAGUGAUGCUCAGUGUCCCCAAGAAGGCCAAUGACGCAAUGCACGUCAGCAUGCUGGAAGGGUUUGAUGAGAACCUGGACGUCCAGGGAGAGCUGAUCCUUCAGGAUUCCUUCCAAGUGUGGGAUCCCAAGUCUUUAAUUCGGAAAGGCCGUGAGAGGCAUUUGUUUCUCUUUGAAAUCUCUUUGGUGUUUAGCAAAGAGAUCAAAGAUUCUUCAGGACAUACAAAAUAUGUUUACAAGAACAAGCUACUGACCUCAGAACUGGGAGUAACUGAACAUGUGGAAGGAGACCCCUGUAAAUUUGCUUUGUGGUCUGGACGAACACCAUCCUCAGACAAUAAAACAGUGCUGAAAGCGUCCAGUAUUGAAACAAAACAAGAAUGGAUCAAAAACAUCCGGGAAGUCAUUCAAGAAAGGAUUAUCCAUCUGAAAGGAGCUCUGAAAGAGCCAAUUCAGCUCCCCAAGACACCAGCAAAGCAGCGAAACAACAGUAGAAGAGAUGGAGUAGAUGAUGCAGACAGCCAAGGAGACGGCAGCAGUCAACCAGACACCAUUUCCAUUGCAUCCAGGACAUCACAGAAUACAGUGGACAGUGAUAAGUUGUCUGGAGGGUGUGAACUAACUGUGGUGCUCCAGGACUUCAUAGCAGGCCACAGCAGCGAGCUGAGCAUUCAGGUGGGGCAGACAGUGGAGCUGCUGGAGAGGCCGAGCGAAAGGCCAGGCUGGUGUUUGGUCCGGACCACGGAGCGGAGCCCACCUCAGGAGGGUCUGGUCCCCAGCAGCGCUCUCUGCAUUUCCCAUUCCCGCAGCAGCGUGGAGAUGGAUUGCUUCUUCCCUUCAGGAAAAGAGGCAUAUUCAGUGUCCUCCAAUGACAACGGGGGCAAGUCAGAUUCGGUGGCCAACCUGCAGCCUCAGCCAUCCCUCAACUCCAUCCAGAGCUCUCCGGGCCCCAAGCGCUCGACCAACACGCUGAAGAAAUGGCUGACCAGCCCUGUGCGCCGGCUGAACAGCGGCAAGACUGAGAGCAACAUCAAGAAGCAGAAGAAGGUGCGAGAUGGCAGGAAGAGCUUUGACCUCGGCUCACCAAAGACCGGAGAUGAAACCACUCCGCAAGGAGACAGCGCCGAUGAGAAGAGCAAGAAGGGUUGGGGAGAAGAUGAGCCAGACGAAGAAUCUCAUACACCUCUUCCUCCUCCCAUGAAGAUUUUUGACAAUGAUCCAACCCAAGAUGAGAUGUCCUCUUCUUUGCUAGCUGCUCGACAGAGCUCCUCCGAUGUCCCGACUGCUGCGGAUCUUGUCAGUGCAAUAGAAAAGUUGGUCAAAAGUAAGCUGACCCUUGAAGGAGGAUCUUACCGAGGAACCUUAAAAGAUGCCACUGGCUGCUUAAAUGAAGGAAUGACGCCUUCAACUCCCCCAAGAAACCUUGAAGAGGAACAAAAAGCCAAAGCAAUGAGAGGCAGGAUGUUUGUCUUAAAUGAGCUGGUGCAGACCGAAAAAGACUACGUCAAAGACUUGGGAACUGUUGUGGAGGGCUUCAUGAAGAGAAUAGAAGAAAAAGGAGUUUCCGAAGAUAUGAAAGGGAAAGACAAGAUAGUAUUUGGCAAUAUUCACCAGAUCUAUGACUGGCACAAAGACUUUUUCCUGGCUGAACUGGAAAAAUGUCUUCAAGAGCAUGACCGUUUAGCACAGCUUUUUAUUAAACAUGAGCGUCGAUUACACAUGUAUGUGGUGUAUUGCCAAAAUAAGCCACGAUCUGAAUAUAUAGUAGCUGAGUAUGAGGCAUAUUUUGAGGAGGUUCAACAGGAAAUAAACCAACGACUAACCAUCAGUGAUUUUCUGAUCAAACCCAUUCAAAGAAUAACUAAAUAUCAGCUUCUUCUCAAGGUGAGUGGAAAGAUGGACCCUCUGACUUCCUUGUACCAAUACAACCUUUCAGAUCAUCUCAAGGGACCGUACUGGGUUGGGAUCUGUAACACUGGUGCCUUGUCUGCUUCUCAGGGCAAGCUGACAGCUCAAGGCAAGCUGCUGCAGCAGGACACCUUCUAUGUGACCGAGCAGGAUUCUGGAGUUCAGUCCCGACCAAAGGAACGUAGGGUGUUUCUCUUUGAGCAAAUAGUUAUCUUCAGUGAACUGCUUAGGAAAGGAUCUUUAACACCAGGCUACAUGUUCAAGAAAAGCAUAAAGAUGAACUACCUUAUCAUUGAAGAAAAUGUGGACAAUGAUCCUUGCAAGUUUGCUCUGAUGAGCCGGGAAACAUCAGAGAGAGUUAUUUUACAGGCAGCUAAUCCAGAAAUUCAGCAAGCUUGGGUACAGGACAUCAACCAGGUUCUGGACACACAAAGAGAUUUCCUAAAUGCGCUACAGUCUCCCAUAGAGUACCAACGCAAAGAAAGUAGCUCAGCAGUGCUGAGGCCCCAGACCGGUAGGGUCUCUCAGCCCAACAGCAGACCCUAUUCUUCUGUUCCAGUAGGGUCUGAGAAGCCUUUGAAGGCUACAAGCCGUAAUCCCUCUCUCCCACCCCUGAAGAUAUCUACCUCCAACGGCAGCACAGGGUAUGAACAUUCACAGCCCGGAGACAAGUACGAACAAAGCAAGACUGAUUUGGGAGGGUGCAAUGGGACCUCUUCCAUGGUUGUGAUUAAAGAUUACUAUGCACUGAAGGAGGAUGAGAUCUGUGUGAAUCAAGGAGAGGUGGUUCAGAUCCUCGCUAUCAACCAGCAGAACAUGUUCCUGGUGUACCAGCCUGCAAACGACCACUCUCCGGCUGCUGAAGGAUGGAUCCCUGGCAAUAUCUUGGCUCCCCUCACUAAAUCCACCACAGAUAGUAGCGACGGAAGCAUCAAGAAGUCAUGUUCAUGGCAUACCCUGCGCAUGAGAAAGCGGGCGGAAAAGGAGAGCAGUGGCAAAAAUGAAGCCAAUGGGCCACGUAAAUCCAAGGAUAUUCUGGGGAACAAAGUCUCUGUUAAAGAGACAAACAGCUCAGAGGAGUCAGAGUGUGAUGACCUUGACCCCAAUACUAGCAUGGAGGUAGAGACAAUCAUCCUUGUCAUUAUUUUUGUCCAAGAACAUGUGCCUUUUCUUGUGCCUUUAGUGGAUAUCACCUGCCUGCUUGGUGACACAGUGAUGCUGCAGUGCAAAGUCUGUGGACGUCCCAAACCAACUAUAACCUGGAAAGGACCAGAUCAAAACAUUCUUGACAAUGACAACAGCACAGCCACCUACACGGUGUCAUCCUGCGAAUCCGGGGAGCUGACGCUGAAGAUCUGUAACGUGAUGCCCCAGGAUAGCGGCAUUUACACCUGUGUGGCAGUUAAUGAGCACGGGACGGCAUCAACCUCAGCCACAGUCAAAGUCCAAGGUGUCCCGGCUGCCCCAAAUCGCCCCAUUGCUCAGGAGAGAAGCUGCACCUCUGUGAUCCUUCGCUGGCUGCCCCCCUCCAGUACAGGCAAUUGCACCAUUUCAGGCUACACUGUGGAGUACAGAGAAGAAGGCUCGCAGGUCUGGCAGCAGUCGGUGGCCUCAACUCUGGACACCUAUCUUGUCAUUGAAGACCUGUCCCCAGGCUGCCAGUACCAGUUUCGAGUGAGCGCCAGCAACCCCUGGGGGAUCAGCUUGCCCAGUGACCCAUCUGAAUUUGUGAGGCUCCCAGAGUACGAUUCUGCUGCUGAUGGUGCCACUAUUUCAUGGAAGGAAAACUUUGACCUUGCUUAUGCAGAGCUGCAUGAGAUUGGGAGGGGACGAUUCUCCAUAGUAAAGAAAUGUGUUCACAAAGCUACCAGGAAAGACGUUGCUGUAAAAUUCAUUAGUAAAAAAAUGAAAAAGAAAGAGCAAGCGGCACAUGAAGCAGCCCUGUUACAGCACUUACAGCAUCCUCAGUACAUCACUAUCCAUGAUACCUACGAGUCUCCGACUUCUUACAUCCUAGUUUUGGAGCUGAUGGAUGACGGUCGUCUCUUAGAUUACCUAAUGAACCAUGAUGAACUCAUGGAGGAAAAGGUAGCUUUCUACAUAAGAGACACAAUGGAAGCCUUGCAGUAUCUUCACAAUUGCCGAGUGGCUCAUUUAGACAUAAAGCCAGAAAAUCUGCUCAUUGAUUUAAGAAUUCCAGUACCUCGUGUCAAGAUCAUCGAUUUGGAAGAUGCAGUUCAAAUCACAGGUCAUUAUCACGUCCACCACCUCCUUGGAAACCCAGAGUUUGCAGCUCCUGAAGUUAUCCAAGGCCUUCCUGUCUCCCUGAGCACAGACAUCUGGAGCAUCGGGGUCCUCACCUACGUCAUGCUGAGUGGUGUCUCUCCCUUCCUGGAUGAAAGCAAAGAGGAGACUUGUAUCAAUGUGUGCAGAGUAGAUUUCAGCUUCCCACCCGAGUACUUCUCUGAUGUGAGCCAUGCCGCCAGGGAUUUCAUCAACGUUAUCCUCCAGGAAGACUUCAGAAGAAGGCCAACAGCAGCCACGUGUUUACAGCAUCCAUGGCUGCAACCGCACAACGGCAGCUAUUCCAAAAUCCCUCUGGAUACCUCCCGCUUGGCUUCCUUCAUCGAGCGCCGCAGACACCAGUACGACGUGCACCCUGUCCCCAGCGUCAAGAGUUUCCUGAUGAGCAGGCUGAACCCAGGAACGUAA